GCCUGAACCACCUGCUGAAUCUUUAGCUUGGGUUCGUGGGGCAGCAAAAGUGAAGAGACUUGCUCUUCCUGCUAGCCUCAUUGUAGGCAUUACUGCUGUCUCAGGGGCCUUUGUUGCUGGAAAUNNNNNNNNNNNNAUAUAACACUUUCCCCAAGAUGGGUGAUACAUGGAUUCCUGAAGAUAUCUUUGAAAUGAAGCCACUAAUUCGAAACUUCUUUGAGAAUACAUCAACUGUGCAGCUUGACCACCGUAUCCUUGCAACUACUACCUUGAUUUCAAUUGGUGGAUUGUGGUGGUUCACGAGAAAGCUGGACAUACAUCCAGCAGUACGAUCUUUAAUUGGAAGCACACUUGGCAUGGCUGCUCUGCAGGUCACCUUAGGGAUAUCAACACUUCUAUCAUAUGUGCCUGUAUCACUUGGAACUGCACAUCAGGCUGGAGCCUUAACGCUUAUGACACUUAUGAUUCUGCUC
rnacentral:misc_RNA from 1 species